rnacentral:misc_RNA from 1 species
GAUGAAGAACGCAGCGAAAUGCGAUAAGUAAUGUGAAUUGCAGAAUUCAGUGAAUCAUCGAAUCUUUGAACGCACAUUGCGCCCGCCAGUAUUCUGGCGGGCAUGCCUGUUCGAGCGUCAUUUCAACCCUCAAGACCCCUUCGGGGGACUUGGUGUUGGGGACCGGCAUAGGGGCCUUGCGCCCCUCGCCGCCCCCGAAAUGAAUUGGCGGCCUCGUCGCGGCCUCCCCUGCGUAGUAGCACAACCUCGCAACGGGAACGUGACGGCGGCCACUGCCGUAAAACAACCCAAUUUUAUUAGAGUUGACCUCGAAUCAGGUAGGAAUACCCGCUGAACUUAAGCAUAUCAAUAAGCGGAGGA